UACGUAGGGGGCAAGCGUUGUCCGGAAUUAUUGGGCGUAAAGCGCGCGCAGGCGGUUCUUUAAGUCUGGUGUUUAAACCUGGGGCUCAACUUCAGGUCGCACUGGAAAAUGGGGGACUUGAGUACAGAAGAGGAGAGUGGAAUUCCACGUGUAGCGGUGAAAUGCGUAGAUAUGUGGAGGAACACCAGUGGCGAAGGCGACUCUCUGGGCUGUAACUGACGCUGAGGCGCGAAAGCGUGGGGAGCAAACAGG
rnacentral:rRNA from 1 species